rnacentral:rRNA from 1 species
GACGAACGCUGGCGGCGUGCUUAACACAUGCAAGUCGAACGAAGAGCGAUGGAAGCUUGCUUCUAUCAAUCUUAGUGGCGAACGGGUGAGUAACGCGUAAUCAACCUGCCCUUCAGAGGGGGACAACAGUUGGAAACGACUGCUAAUACCGCAUACGAUCCAAUCUCGGCAUCGAGGAUGGAUGAAAGGUGGCCUCUAUUUAUAAGCUAUCACUGAAGGAGGGGAUUGCGUCUGAUUAGCUAGUUGGAGGGGUAACGGCCCACCAAGGCGAUGAUCAGUAGCCGGUCUGAGAGGAUGAACGGCCACAUUGGGACUGAGACACGGCCCAGACUCCUACGGGAGGCAGCAGUGGGGAAUCUUCCGCAAUGGACGAAAGUCUGACGGAGCAACGCCGCGUGAGUGAUGACGGCCUUCGGGUUGUAAGGCUCUGUUAAUCGGGACGAAAGGCCUUCUUGCGAAUAGUUAGAAGGAUUGACGGUACCGGAAUAGAAAGCCACGGCUAACUACGUGCCAGCAGCCGCGGUAAUACGUAGGUGGCAAGCGUUGUCCGGAAUUAUUGGGCGUAAAGCGCGCGCAGGCGGAUUGGUCAGUCUGUCUUAAAAGUUCGGGGCUUAACCCCGUGAUGGGAUGGAAACUGCCAAUCUAGAGUAUCGGAGAGGAAAGUGGAAUUCCUAGUGUAGCGGUGAAAUGCGUAGAUAUUAGGAAGAACACCAGUGGCGAAGGCGACUUUCUGGACGAAAACUGACGCUGAGGCGCGAAAGCCAGGGGAGCGAACGGGAUUAGAUACCCCGGUAGUCCUGGCCGUAACGAUG